ACUAAAUUUUCACUCAAUAAGUGACAGUCAUGGGAUCAAGGUUUAACCUCUUGGGUAUCCUCGUUUGCCUAUUGUUUCUCCUUGUCAAUGUGGAUGGCAAAGGCAAUAAGCAUCACUCGCCCGACGACAGACAGCGUCAUAUUCGCCCCCACAAUAUCCAUAGACCUCCCUAUGAGGGUUACGAGUGGUACAAACAUUAUAACCGAGAUUCCGAUUCGGACAUAAGCGCUCCAAAAGAAAAGGUAUAGAAACACCAUAAAUCCAGGCCUGAGGUUGUGAAUAGAAUGAGGGCGAGAAAUGGACCAAAAGGAGCCCAAUUGACUCAGGUCCUGAAACCAUCUAUUUUAAAAUUUAGGCAUUUGUACGAUUCCGUGUUUAAAAAGCAUCCAGAAGCCCGUCGCACCUUAAUUCUCUUAAAAGACAUCAUCAUCAUGACUUUAUCAACUAAAAUAAUUGAAUUGGUAUCUUAUAAUAAGUGUAGUAAGCGUUGCUCUAAAACAGAUCCUAGAGUUUGGUUUCCCGGAAGAAACUAAUGACUGACCCAAGAUCGUUUAGUUUAGGCAGCAGCCAUAACUUUAAUUUCGACUAUCUUGCUUCAACUUAAUACACAUAGACGUCGGCUAACUUAAUCACA